UCAAAACCCCAACGGAGCUAUCCUUGUUCUUCUACUUCUAUGAUUAUUCUUUUAUAAUCUAUAUCUAUAAAUAUUCUACAGACAACUCAUUGGGCUUUUCGUAUACUGUUUCUUUUCAAUAUUUUAAUUUUUUUUAGUAUUUAUUUAUCGAAGACUCUGCAAUGGAGAGAGAUUUUCUGGGUUUGAAAAAGAAAGAGAUUACCAGCAAUAAUAUAUUCAAUGAGUCGGUUGGCGGCAUGCAACGGUGGUGGUCGGAAGACUCUUCUACGUCCCAAUUUCAGCCUUUCGGAGCUACUCAAGACAAUAUGCGAGACACCCUCACUUCUCCGGUCUAUGCUUUUGAUUUUACUUAUAACCCUCUAUCUACUUUGCCUAAGAGGAGCUUCAAUAGUACUACGCCAUGGAAAUUCCCUUUUCAGGAAGAAACAAUUCCGACCAGUAUGCAGUUUCUUGGAGGGUUUCCAUUUGCGGAACGGUCUGCGACAUCAAGUCCAACUGACCCAAGGAACAAAUCCAAGCAAGUAGAGGCAGCUGAUGAUCGGUUAAUUAUCGUUUACGACAAUAAAGUCCAUGUCUUUGAGGAUAUUUCGCCAAAUAAGGCUGAGGCCAUCCUGCGUUUGGCCAGAGAUGAGCACUACUCUUUCCUGACGGUCGAUGAUGAUCGGAAACAAGUAGUACUGCCGGAGCAAACAACGCUGGACCUUCUCUGUAGGACCAGCAAUAGCAACCAACAUGCACUUGACCCUCCUUCAAUCAUCAAUUCCUCAACAGAAUCUGCCUCGUACACUUAUUCAGCAAUAACUCUGCCACUGGCUCGGAAAGCAACCUUGGAACAUUUUCUGGAGAAGCGCAAGGACCGGUUUGUUUUACCAACUUUUUAAUUGUUCCCCAAAUGCAUAUACGAAAUCACUUUAACCAAAAAGGAAGAAAAUGAAAGCAUACUUCAACUCCAAUCUCUGUCUGAACAUUCAGCAGAUUGACCAACGGUAUGUUUUACAAGUUCAUGAAGACGGUGCUCUACAGUCCCGAGUUGCUGAAAUGAAAUUCCUUCACUAGAGAAAACAAAGCUAGAUGCUGUUUAUGUUACAGCUAUCCAGCCCAAUAAUGUCACAUUCUUUGUUAAUUUUCUCAUGCAUUUAUGAUAUACUCUUAAUUCUUUGUUAUUGUUCAGUUUAAUCUAUGGGCAAAUGUAUAUUUUCUUU